CCGGUAAACGGCGGCCGUAACUAUAACGGUCCUAAGGUAGCGAAAUUCCUUGUCGGGUAAGUUCCGACCUGCACGAAUGGCGUAAUGAUGGCCAGGCUGUCUCCACCCGAGACUCAGUGAAAUUGAACUCGCUGUGAAGAUGCAGUGUACCCGCGGCAAGACGGAAAGACCCCGUGAACCUUUACUAUAGCUUGACACUGAACAUUGAGCCUUGAUGUGUAGGAUAGGUGGGAGGCUUUGAAGUGUGGACGCCAGUCUGCAUGGAGCCGACCUUGAAAUACCACCCUUUAAUGUUUGAUGUUCUAACGUUGACCCGUAAUCCGGGUUGCGGACAGUGUCUGGUGGGUAGUUUGACUGGGGCGGUCUCCUCCUAAAGAGUAACGGAGGAGCACGAAGGUUGGCUAAUCCUGGUCGGACAUCAGGAGGUUAGUGCAAUGGCAUAAGCCAGCUUGACUGCGAGCGUGACGGCGCGAGCAGGUGCGAAAGCAGGUCAUAGUGAUCCGGUGGUUCUGAAUGGAAGGGCCAUCGCUCAACGGAUAAAAGGUACUCCGGGGAUAACAGGCUGAUACCGCCCAAGAGUUCAUAUCGACGGCGGUGUUUGGCACCUCGAUGUCGGCUCAUCACAUCCUGGGGCUGAAGUAGGUCCCAAGGGUAUGGCUGUUCGCCAUUUAAAGUGGUACGCGAGCUGGGUUUAGAACGUCGUGAGACAGUUCGGUCCCUAUCUGCCGUGGGCGCUGGAGAACUGAGGGGGGCUGCUCCUAGUACGAGAGGACCGGAGUGGACGCAUCACUGGUGUUCGGGUUGUCAUGCCAAUGGCACUGCCCGGUAGCUAAAUGCGGAAGAGAUAAGUGCUGAAAGCAUCUAAGCACGAAACUUGCCCCGAGAUGAGUUCUCCCUGACUCCUUGAGAGUCCUGAAGGAACGUUGAAGACGACGACGUUGAUAGGCCGGGUGUGUAAGCGCAGCGAUGCGUUGAGCUAACCGGUACUAAUGAACCGUGAGGCUUAACCUUACAACGCCGAAGG
rnacentral:rRNA from 1 species